rnacentral:rRNA from 2 species
UCUGGUGUCAGCCGCCGCGGUAAAACCAGCACCUCAAGUGGUCAGGAUGAUUAUUGGGCCUAAAGCAUCCGUAGCCUGCUUUGUUAGUUUUCGGUUAAAUCCAUACGCUCAACGUAUGGGCUGCCGGGAAUACUGCAAAGCUAGGGAGUGGGAGAGGUGGACGGUACUCGGUAGGAAGGGGUAAAAUCCUUUGAUCUAUUGAUGACCACCUGUGGCGAAGGCGGUCUACCAGAACACGUCCGACGGUGAGGGAUGAAAGCUGGGGGAGCAAACCGGAUUAGAUACCCGGGUAGUCCCAGCUGUAAACUAUGCAAACUCGGUGAUGCAUUGGCUUGAUGCCAAUGCAGUGCCGCAGGGAAGCCGUUAAGUUUGCCGCCUGGGAAGUACGUACGCAAGUAUGAAACUUAAAG